GUUCUGUUCCAUUUCAAGACACCGUCCACCUGAGACACACCAACACUUAGACCCUUCCGUCAGCGUUCCACAGAUUCAGGAAAUACCCUCCGAUGUCUGACUGGGACAAUCAUGUGAACUGAAGUCGUCCAUAACAGGAGUGAGUUUCACUGGACCAUUGGGGACAUUUCCAUCACAGCGUCAUUAACACAAAUGGAUCAGUGUGAGGACAGAGAGGAGGGAGCCCCUCCCCCAAAGACCACCGACAGGACCCGUUCAGGACCUGGACCUGGACCUGGAC